rnacentral:rRNA from 1 species
UAGGGAAUCUUCGGCAAUGGACGAAAGUCUGACCGAGCAACGCCGCGUGAGUGAAGAAGGUUUUCGGAUCGUAAAACUCUGUUGUAAGAGAAGAAUGACAUUGAGAGUAACUGUUCAAUGUGUGACGGUAUCUUACCAGAAAGGAACGGCUAAAUACGUGCCA